rnacentral:misc_RNA from 1 species
ACACAUCUUCGUUGAGUUCUCCAUGAAACAAAGCAUUUUUAUGUCCAAUUGACAAUAGAGACAAAGAUACGAAGGAAAACUAAUGCAAUCUUUGCCAUUUGAUAUAUCUUUCCAUCAAGACCUCCUUUAAUUGUAGACGCCCAACGACAACUAAAUUAGUUUUACCUUUUGGUUGUGGAACUAUCUCCCAAGUAUUAUUAGCAUGAAGAGCAGUUAUUUCCUCAACUAUAGCUUUGCUCCAACCAUGAUAGGACAUUACUUCUGCUACAAUCUUAGGUAAUAGGGCAGUAGAUAGAUCGGAAAGAAAUGCAUACUAAAAGCACAACCGUACAACAAUGGUGUCUGAAGAGAUGUCGCUUGGAGCAGGCUGUGGACCUGUAUCAUUAAGAGAAAAAGUAUUUGGAUUAGCGAAAGGAGGAUUUG